rnacentral:tRNA from 1 species
UAGCUCAGUUGGUAGAGUGCUUGCCUCACAUGCAGAAGGCCCUGGGUUCAAUCCCCAG